rnacentral:lncRNA from 1 species
AAUGUAACUGCUUCACUAACUUGUGAACAGAAAUCAAGUUGUGUUUAAAAGAAGGAACUAGCAGUACAUUGUGAAGAGUAAUGGAAGGAGUUAAGGCAAGGAGCUAGUGCAAGUUACUUUUACUUUAUAGCCAUUUCGAAGAGUGACAAGAUAUGGCAGAGUUAGAGGUAUAAUGUUAAAAAGUAGUUGUUUAUCAUGUGNN